CCCAUUUAAAUUUGAAUUUCAUAUAAACAGUAAUUUUCAGUAUUAGUGUAUCACGUGCAGCAUUUGGGACACACUUAUGCUAAAAAUAUUAGAUGGUGUUGAUCUGAAAUUCCAGUGUAGAUGGGCA
ensembl:miRNA MIR1302-8 microRNA 1302-8